GACAGAGGGUGCAAACGUUGUUCGGAAUUACUGGGCGUAAAGCGCGUGUAGGCUGCUUCGCAAGUCGGAUGUGAAAGCCCUGGGCUCAACCUAGGAAGUGCAUUCGAAACUGCGAAGCUUGAGUCCUGGAGAGGAAGGCGGAAUUCUCGGUGUAGAGGUGAAAUUCGUAGAUAUCGAGAGGAACACCGGUGGCGAAGGCGGCCUUCUGGACAGUGACUGACGCUCAGGCACGAAAGCAUGGGGAGCAAAAGGG
rnacentral:rRNA from 1 species